AGCAACAAGCAUAUUCAUUUGCCUGGCCUGCCCUGUGGAGUUCUGUCAACAGAGGUAAAGAGCUCACCCACUAAACUUAAGUGGCAGGCUUUCUGUUCCAGGGUGAAGCUAGGCCAGUAAGUGUAAACUUGGAAGUGGAGGAGAAAACCAAUCAUUCUGCCAAGAAGCUAGUGGUUUGGAAGCUAAGAGCAGGUGACUGAACCAGUUAGCUUCGGACUACAAGUUUUGAAAAUCACUCUCUAGACGGCUGGCAAGACAGCUGGGUGUGCACCAGCCUUGAACCUGCAAGCAGACUCUCCCUGCCCCCAGGGACUCCAGCCCUGCCAUGGCAGAUUUUCAGCGCAGCAGCUGCACUAACUUCUUGUGCACCCGAAAGGGAAUGCUUCUGUUUGUUGAGAUUAUAUUGUGCCUUGUGAUUCUGACCCUCUACGGUGCCUCAACAUCAGGCUAUAUCUCUCUGUCACUGAUUGAAUUGAUCCUAGCUAUCAUCUUCUUUAUAAUCUACACAUGUGACCUGCACACCAGGAUACAAUUCAUUCACUGGCCUUGGACUGAUUUCUUCCGAUCUCUCAUAGCAGCCAUCAUCUACCUGAUCACCUCCAUUAUUGUACUUGUUGAGAGAGGAUAUCGCUCCAGAAUCGUUGCCGGGAUACUGGGCCUAAUCGCCACGGCCCUUUUUGGCUAUGAUGCCUUUAUUACUUGCCCAAUGCGACAAUAAAGACACACAGCAACAC